UAGACUGCGGAUGGCUCAUUAAAUCAGUUAUGGUUCCUUAGAUCGUACACAUCCUACUUGGAUAACUGUGGCAAUUCUAGAGCUAAUACAUGCAAACCAGCUCCGACCCGUCAGAGGGGAAGAGCGCUUUUGUUAGCCUAAAGCCAAACCGGGCUCGCCCGUCAAACGGCGACUCGGUAUGCUAGUGGUGACUCCGAACAACUUUGCCGAUCGCAGGCCCUAGAGGCGGCGACGAGUCUAUCAAGUGUCUGCCCUAUCAACUGUCGAUGGUAAGCGCUAUGCCUACCAUGGUGAUAACGGGUAACGGGGAAUCAGGGUUCUGAUUCCGGAGAGGGAGCAUGAGACACGGCUACCACAUCCAAGGACGGCAGCAGGCGCGCAAAUUACCCAAUCCCGACACGGGGAGGUAGUGACGAAAAAUAACAAUACGGGACUCUUU
rnacentral:rRNA from 1 species